GUGCCAGCCGCCGCGGUAAUACGGAGGGGGUUAGCGUUGUUCGGAAUUACUGGGCGUAAAGCGCGCGUAGGCGGAUUGGAAAGUUGGGGGUGAAAUCCCGGGGCUCAACCCCGGAACUGCCUCCAAAACUUCCAGUCUGGAGUUCGAGAGAGGUGAGUGGAAUUCCGAGUGUAGAGGUGAAAUUCGUAGAUAUUCGGAGGAACACCAGUGGCGAAGGCGGCUCACUGGCUCGAUACUGACGCUGAGGUGCGAAAGUGUGGGGAGCAAACAGGAUUAGAUACCCUGGUAGUCCACACCGUAAACGAUGAAUGCCAGUCGUCGGGUAGCAUGCUAUUCGGUGACACACCUAACGGAUUAAGCAUUCCGCCUGGGGAGUACGGCCGCAAGGUUAAAACUCAAAUGAAUUGACGGGG
rnacentral:rRNA from 1 species